rnacentral:rRNA from 1 species
AUUGAACGCUGGCGGCAUGCCUAACACAUGCAAGUCGAACGGAAACAGGUUGCUGGAUGCUGACGCGUGGGGAGCGGGUGGGUAAUACACCGGAAAGUGCCCCGACGUGGGGGGUAACAAGGCGAAAGCUUUGCGAAUAUAGCACAGGAUAUAAGGAUGAGAGGAGGGGAGGGCAUGGGAUCGUUCGUUUGGAGCGGGCGAGGGCGGAUUAGGAAGUUGGUGUGGUAAAAGCUUAGCAAGACGAAGAUCUGUAGCGGGUCUGAGAGGACGAGCAGCCACACUGGGACUGAGACACGGCCCAGACUCCUACGGGAGGCAGCAGUGGGGAAUUUUGGACAAUGGGCGAAAGCCUGAUCCAGCAAUGCCGCGUGCAGGAUGAAGGCCUUCGGGUUGUAAACGGCUUUUGUACGGGAGGAAAAGGCUCUGGCUAAUACCUAGGGGACAUGACGGUACCGUAAGAAUAAGCACCGGCUAACUUCGUG